UCAGGCGUCGAGCGGCGGACGGGUGAGUAAUACUUAGGAAUCUACCUAGUAGUGGGGGAUAGCACGGGGAAACUCGUAUUAAUACCGCAUACGACCUACGGGAGAAAGGGGGCAGUUUACUGCUCUCGCUAUUAGAUGAGCCUAAGUCGGAUUAGCUAGAUGGUGGGGUAAAGGCCUACCAUGGCGACGAUCUGUAGCUGGUCUGAGAGGAUGAUCAGCCACACCGGGACUGAGACACGGCCCGGACUCCUACGGGAGGCAGCAGUGGGGAAUUUUGGACAAUGGGCGAAAGCCUGAUCCAGCAAUGCCGCGUGAGUGAAGAAGGCCUUCGGGUUGUAAAGCUCUUUUGUCAGGGAAGAAACGGUCUGGGCUAAUAUCCUGGGCUAAUGACGGUACCUGAAGAAUAAGCACCGGCUAACUACGUGCCAGCAGCCGCGGUAAUACGUAGGGUGCAAGCGUUAAUCGGAAUUACUGGGCGUAAAGCGUGCGCAGGCGGUUUUGUAAGUCUGACGUGAAAUCCCCGGGCUCAACCUGGGA
rnacentral:rRNA from 1 species